rnacentral:rRNA from 2 species
UGGGGAAUAUUGGACAAUGGGCGCAAGCCUGAUCCAGCCAUGCCGCGUGUGUGAAGAAGGCCUUUUGUUUGUAAAGCACUUUAAGCGAGGAGGAGGCUACUUGGAUUAAUACUCUAGGAUAGUGGACGUUACUCGCAGAAUAAGCACCGGCUAACUCUGUGCCAGCAGCCGCGGUAAUACAGAGGGUGCGAGCGUUAAUCGGAUUUACUGGGCGUAAAGCGUGCGUAGGCGGCUUUUUAAGUCGGAUGUGAAAUCCCUGAGCUUAACUUAGGAAUUGCAUUCGAUACUGGGAAGCUAGAGUAUGGGAGAGGAUGGUAGAAUUCCAGGUGUAGCGGUGAAAUGCGUAGAGAUCUGGAGGAAUACCGAUGGCGAAGGCAGCCAUCUGGCCUAAUACUGACGCUGAGGUACGAAAGCAUGGGGAGCAAACAGG